rnacentral:rRNA from 1 species
GAUGAACGCUGGCGGCGUGCCUAAUACAUGCAAGUCGAGCGAACAGACGAGGAGCUUGCUCCUCUGACGUUAGCGGCGGACGGGUGAGUAACACGUGGAUAACCUACCUAUAAGACUGGGAUAACUUCGGGAAACCGGAGCUAAUACCGGAUAAUAUAUUGAACCGCAUGGUUCAAUAGUGAAAGACGGUUUUGCUGUCACUUAUAGCUGGAUCCGCGCCGCAUUAGCUAGUUGGUAAGGUAACGGCUUACCAAGGCAACGAUGCGUAGCCGACCCGAGAGGGUGAUCGGCCACACUGGAACUGAGACACGGUCCAGACUCCUACGGGAGGCAGCAGUAGGGAAUCUUCCGCAAAGGGCGAAAGCUUGACGGAGCAACGCCGCGUGAGUGAUGAAGGUCUUCGGAUCGUAAAACUCUGUUAUUAGGGAAGAACAAAUGUGUAAGUAACUAUGCACGUCUUGACGGUACCUAAUCAGAAAGCCACGGCUAACUACGUG